AAUCAACGCUGGCGGCGUGCCUCAGACAUGCAAGUCGAACGAGAAAUCCCGAGCAAUCGGGAAAGUAAAGUGGCGCACGGGUGAGUAACACGUAGGUAAUCUACCUUCGGGUGGGGAAUAACCCAGGGAAACUUGGGCUAACACCGCAUAAUGCAGCGGCACCACAUGGUGACAGUUGUUAAAGCGGGGGAUUUUAGGACCUCGCGCCUGAAGAGGAGCCUGCGGCGGAUUAGCUAGNGGUAAGGUAACGGCUUACCAAGGCGACGAUCCG
rnacentral:rRNA from 1 species